CCUUGGGAGCUUCAAGAGUCCAACAACGCCCCGUGAGGUCUGCUGGUCUCCUCCUCUCCACCGAUAAAGCGAGAACAUGACAGACAGACAGGCUAACGAACAAACAGGAGAUGGGCGCGUCCUCUUCCGCCGACCACGGAGGCAUCUCGGAGCAACAGCAACGGCAGGAAGAGGAGGAAAACUUAGCUGCCGCCAAUGGCUUCCUCCCCUCCCUUCGCAAUGCCUUCUCCAACCUCUCUCCGCCCUCCUCCUCUUCCGUCCCCCUCGCUUCCCUCCAUGUACUGCUGCUGCCUACCGAUCCACAACCCAUGUGACAACUGACCCUCGAUUCUCCCCUCUUCCCUGGACGUGCAAGUUGUUGUGUCCGAAUCCUCGCCGGUGCCGUAGCACUUCCCUGCCCUGUCGAACAAUCUCGGCGCAACCCUGGUCUCGCUCUUCUUCCCCGUUGCCGAUGAUCGUGCUGACGGUCGUAUUGAUUGGAUUGGCUUCUUGAGCGGCUACAAGCGAUGCUACGGCAGGAUGCCCGUCUCACGAUCCAUCAACGAGCUAUACAGAUUGUACGCCGCCCUGUCCCGGGAAGCCGGAGCGCCUUGCGGCUUGGAGUUCGAUCCCGAUGCUGGCGACGAUGAUAAGGUGGGCGGGUCUCUCUUGCCGGGAGAGGUGCUCAUGCUUUUCUGGAUCUGCUGGGUCAUGGGGCAUUCUUCGAGGAUCGCGAAGAUGUCCAGAAACGCAGAGGAUCCUUUGGUGCUCCCUGACAUGAGCCAUUUGGAGAUGAGCACAUUUGGAAGAUGAGCACAUUUGGAGAUCGGAUGUUUUGGCGGUCGAUAAGGGUGUUUCUGCGCAGAAGUUUCAGACGUGGGUCUUGACGACAGCACCAGGCUCGGCGAAUUGUCUUCCGAAGUAUGUCCAGGAUAGGAUCCAAGCUUGCUCUUCUUCGAAGCAACUUUGUGAGUGUCAAUUAGGCACAGGCACUGAUGUAGCAUAAGGGCAUUCCUCCAAAGAGAUUUGUUGAGAACUAUUCACAAGAACUUAAGAAAAAGAAAUUUGCAUGCAUUAAGCUAAUGUCAGGAAUUUGGUUAUGGAAGUGUUAGGGUCUACAAGGGAUAACACUGAUACUGAGUUGAAUUCAUUUGCGAAGAGGAUUUAGGAGACCAGGAGGCAAAAUCAUUGACUGACAACUUGAAAGAAUGCACAAUCAGAACUAUAUAUUAUUUUUCACAAUCUAGUGUAAGUGUUAGUACAUUGUUGGAUGGAAGAAUUGCUUCAAUUGUCAGGUUGCUGUUAAAUAAGCAGUUGCGAAAAUAACUUGUUCCAGCUGUUGAUGCUACCGCUAGUGGGUACAGUGGCAUCUGCAGCAGGUCCCCUGCCUGGCUGCCCAACGUGAUGCGGCGAGAUUGACGUCCCCUACCCUUUUGGUAUAUGUCCUAACUCUUUGAGGGAAGGCUUCUCACUAAAUUGCAGCGCAACGGAUGAUGGCCUCGAGAAACUUUUUGUGUUCAACGUCGAGAUCACCGAUAUCUCAUUGCCACUAGGCCAGACACACAUGCUCAAUGAAAUAUAGUCGCAGUGUUGCAACGUAAGCAACAAUUCUAUGGACUACAACUUCUGCUCUCUGAAUUUGGUUGACACACCAAAUAGAUUCUCCGAUGUCCACAACAAGUUCACUGUAAUCGGCUGCGAGACCCUCGUCUGGAUCGGAUAUCUUCAAAGGGCCAGAGCGGUUGUGUGUCCGUGUGUCACAACGAGGUGAGUUUGGUCAACAGCUCAUGCUCCGGCAUCGGCUGCUGCCAAACGUCCAUCCCCAAGGUCCUCGCAUACUAUGAGGUCUGGUUUGAUUCAAAUUUCAGCAGCUCGAGCAUCUGGAACUUCAGUUACUGCAGCUAUGCCGUAUUGUUGGAGGCCAAUCGGUUUGAAUUCCUAACAUUUACAUCACAACGGACCGAUUCUUGAACGACAGCAGCAGCAAGGCGCCUUUGGUGGUGGAUUGGGCGAUCGGAAACGAGAUAGCAAAGUGCAACAGAACCUCCUACACCUGCAUCAGUGAGCACCGCGAGUGUUUGAAUUCUUCCAAUGGUCCUGGGUAUCGGUGUAACUGUUCGAGUGGCUACCAUGGCAAUCCUUAUGUCGCUCAUGGCUGCCAAGAGAUCGAUGAAUGCUCUGAUAAAUAUCAAUAUCCUUGCAAUGGCAUCUGCCAGAACCUGCCCGGUAGCUACAAUUGUUUCUGCCUGUGAGGAACUUAUGGUGAUGCUUUCAAUGGACCAUGCACUCAACAGCAGAACCUUCAAUCAUCAGCGAAGGUGGCUAUAGGUAAGAGUCUUUUUUCCACCAUGACUUUCGUCUUUGUCGAGGAUCUCCAAACACAUUUGAUGCCAAGUAUUACAAAUAAAUUCUUUUGUUCCCUUUCUUUUCAUGAAUUUUAUUUAUUGCUUCAAAUCCUUUGACCUGUCUGCACUAUAGACUAGGUGUAUCUUACAGGGAGGACUAA